CCUACGUGCGGCAGCAGUGAGGAAUAUUGGUCAAUGGGCGCGAGCCUGAACCAGCCAAGUAGCGUGAAGGAUGACUGCCCUACGGGGUGUAACCUUCUUUUAUAAAGGACUAAAGUGAGGCACGUGUGCCUUUCUGUAUGUACUUUCUGAAUAAGGAUCGGCUAACUCCGUGCCAGCAGCCGCGGUAAUCCGGAGGUUCCGGGCGUUAUCCGGAUUGAGUGGGUUUAAAGGGAGCGUAGAUGGGUUGUUAAGUCAGUGGUGAAAGUUUGCGGCUCAACCGUAAAAUUGCAAUUGAUACUGGCAGUCGUGAGUACAGUUGAGGUAGGCGGAAUGCGUGGUGUAGCAGUGAAAUGCUUAGAUAUCACGAAGAACUCCGAUUGCGAAGGCAGCUUACUAAACUGCCACUGACACUGAUGCUCGAAAGUGUGGGUAUCAAACAGGAUUAGAUACCCCGGUAGUC
rnacentral:rRNA from 1 species